rnacentral:rRNA from 1 species
UACGUAGGGGUCGAGCGUUGUCCGGAGUUACUGGGCGUAAAGCGUGUGCAGGCGGCUCAUUGCGCCCGGCGUGAAAGCCCCCGGCUCAACCGGGGAGAGUCGUCGGGGACGGGUGAGCUUGAGGGUAUCAGGGGCUGGUGGAAUUCCCGGUGUAGUGGUGAAAUGCGUAGAUAUCGGGAGGAACACCAGUGGCGAAGGCGAUCACCUGGGGUUGUUCUGACGCUGAGGAGCGAAAGCUAGGGGAGCAAACGGG